GCUGGCUGCAUGAUGUCACACCCCAGCCAGGGCCAGGCUGGCUGCAUGAUGGCCCUGGGCUGGGGGGUGACUACCUGCAGCCGCUCUGACAGCCUGCUCGGCCCACAGCUCUUCGGGGACGUCUGCUACAACUGCAGCCAUGUGAUUGAAGGCGAUGGAACAAGUUUGUGGAGUUCGACAUGAAGCCCGUGUGUAAGAGGUGCUACGAGAAGUUCCCGCUGGAGCUGAAGAAGCGGCUGAAGAAGCUGUCAGAGCUGACCUCCCGCAAGGCCCAGCCCAAGGCCGCGGACCUCAACUCUGCCUGAAGGCCCUCUUGCGCAGCCGCCUCUCGGCCCCUCCGCCUUCUCCCCUCCCGCUGUCCAUGCUUGGCCCCCUCGUCCCCGUCCACCUGCGCCCUCUGCAUCUUACGCUCCCCUUCUCUUUCUUCAUUGCCUCCCCCUUUCCUGUUCCCUCAUCUCUGCCUUCCCCCUGUCUCUCCUCUCCUCGGCUGUGGUUUCUGUCUGUGAGGAGGCAGGAGCUGGGGAGUGGGAGCCUAUGACCCCACGUCUGACAGCCACGUCCACCUGUGCCCACAGUUUCUGCCAACAGACCUCCAGGGACAGAAGCAAAUUGCACCACAGCUCCCUGCCUGGCCUGGCCCUCCCCAGGCAGCUCAGUGGCUCAUGCUGUCCUGUGAGAGCCCCUGCCCCAGAGCGGCCCCACUAAGCGCAUGUGGCUCCUGGACUACCUACAGCCAGGGCAGCCUGCUGGAGCCACAGGGCCAGGACCAUGCAGAUGGAGGCCUCUGGGAGCCACCUCCAGUCCCUCACCACUCACUCAACCAGGGGCACAGUGUCCCUGUUCCCACACUGAGCCAGCAAGUCCUGCUGUCCACACCCACAAGCUACCUGGAGGGACAGGACCCACCUCCAUCCCUCGGAAGGUCUUCCUGGAACCCCACCUUGGCCUCCCACCUGGGUUCCGCCCCGCCCCCUCCCCCCGACCUUGGGGCUUGUGUUGAGCCCUUGGGUGGGGCCAGGGGCCAGGAGGUGGUGAGGUCAGAGGAGGUGGGGUCAGAGGUGGCUUUUUCCCACCUCCAGGGAGGACGCUUCCUCUGCGGCCAGCGCAGACCUGGUGUUGGGCUCACGCUUGCACAAUGAAGGCUUCUUCACACAA
rnacentral:sRNA from 1 species